AUGAAGGAUUUAGGAGUGGCUGAUGUCAUUUUGAACAUCAAGUUGUUGAGAGAUGAUGAUGGUGGGAUUAUAUUGCUUCAAUCUCACUAUGUGGAAAAGAUCUUGAGCCGCUUUGGCUAUAGUGACUGCAAGCCCUCUCCAACACCAUAUGAUGCGAGUGUGUUACUUCGAAAGAAUCGAAGAAUUGCUAGAGAUCAAUUGAAAUAUUCUCAGAUUAGUCGCACGCUUAUGUACUUAGCCAGUGCUACAAGACCUGACAUCUCUUUUGCUGUUAGCAAACUGAGUCGGUUUGUCUCAAAACCAGGAGAUGUGCAUUGGAAAGCUCUAGAGAGAGUUUUGCGUUAUUUGAAAGGCACUACGAAUUAUGGAAUUCACUACACUAGGCACCCAAAGGUGCUUGAAGGGUAUAGUGACUCAAACUGGAUCUCAGAUGCUGAUGAGAUAAAGGCCACUGUGAUCACGAAAGUGAGAAGCUCAAAGGAUAACAUGAAGUCAUCAAGACACGUUCAGAGAAGGUUAAAGUCUAUCAGGAAAAUGAGAAACUCCGGAGUUAUUGCAUUGGAUUAUAUCCAAACGUCUAAAAAUCUGGCAGAUCCUUUUACUAAGGGUCUAUCACGUAAUGUUGAUGUAUAUCUUAAUGUGUUCUAA
rnacentral:rRNA from 1 species